UACGUAGGGGCGAGCGUUGUCCGGAAUGAUUGGGCGUAAAGGGCGCGCAGGCGGCCUGUCAAGUCAGUAGUGGAAGUCCAUUUUUCAAGGAUGGAAGUGCUAUAGAAACUGAUGGGCUUGAGUGCAGGAGAGGUUAUCGGAAUUCCCGGUGUAGCGGUGAAAUGCGUAGAGAUCGGGAGGAACACCAGUGGCGAAGGCGGGUAACUGGACUGCAACUGACGCUGAGGCGCGAAAGUGUGGGGAGCAAACAGGAUUAGAUACCUCGGUA
rnacentral:rRNA from 1 species